UGUAAUGUGGCUGAGUGGUUAAGGCGACAGACUCAAAAUCUGUUACUCUUUGGGUGCGCAGGUUAGAGUCAUGCCGUUGUCG